GGUCGUUUAGCUCAGUUGGUAGAGCAAAGGAUUGAAGUUCCUUGUGUCCGCGGUUCGAUUCCGUGAACGACCACCA
rnacentral:tRNA from 1 species